rnacentral:rRNA from 1 species
UACGUAGGGUGCAAGCGUUGUCCGGAAUUAUUGGGCGUAAAGGGCUCGUAGGCGGUCCAUCGCGUCGGGAGUGAAAGCUGGGACUUAACCCCAGCCUGCUUCCGAUACGGGUGGACUAGAGGUAGGUAGGGAGAGUCGGAAUUCCUGGAUGUGAGCGGUGGAAAUGACUGCAGAUAUCAGGAGGAACACCGGUGGCGAAGGCGGAUCUCUGGGCCUUACCUGACGCUGAGGAGCGAAAGCAUGGGGAGCAAACAGG